AUUGAACGCUGGCGGCAGGCCUAACACAUGCAAGUCGAGCGGAUGAAGGGAGCUUGCUCCUGGAUUCAGCGGCGGACGGGUGAGUAAUGCCUAGGAAUCUGCCUGGUAGUGGGGGAUAACGUCCGGAAACGGGCGCUAAUACCGCAUACGUCCUGAGGGAGAAAGUGGGGGAUCUUCGGACCUCACGCCAUCAGAUGAGCCUAGGUCGGAUUAGCUAGUUGGUGAGGUAAAGGCCUACCAAGGCGACGAUCCGUAACUGGUCUGAGAGGAUGAUCAGUCACACUGGAACUGAGACACGGUCCAGACUCCUACGGGAGGCAGCAGUGGGGAAUAUUGGACAAUGGGCGAAAGCCUGAUCCAGCCAUGCCGCGUGUGUGAAGAAGGUCUUCGGAUUGUAAAGCACUUUAAGUUGGGAGGAAGGGCAGUAAGUUAAUACCUUGCUGUUUUGACGUUACCAACAGAAUAAGCACCGGCUAACUUCGUG
rnacentral:rRNA from 1 species